AUUGAACGCUGGCGGCAUGCCUUACACAUGCAAGUCGAACGGCAGCAUGGAGAGCUUGCUCUCUGAUGGCGAGUGGCGAACGGGUGAGUACUGCAUCGGAACGUACCGUGUAAUGGGGGAUAACGUAGCGAAAGUUACGCUAAUACCGCAUACGACCUGAGGGUGAAAGCAGGGGCUCGCAAGACCUUGCGUUAUCCGAGCGGCCGAUGUCAGAUUAGCUAGUUGGUGAGGUAAAGGCUCACCAAGGCGACGAUCUGUAGCGGGUCUGAGAGGAUGAUCCACCACACUGGGACUGAGACACGGCCCAGACUCCUACGGGAGGCAGCAGUGGGGAAUUUUGGACAAUGGGGGCAACCCUGAUCCAGCCAUGCCGCGUGAGUGAAGAAGGCCUUCGGGUUGUAAAGCUCUUUCGGCCGGGAAGAAAUCGCACAGGCUAAUACUCUGUGUGGAUGACGGUACCGGCAUAAGAAGCACCGGCUAACUACGUGCCAGCCGCCGCAGUAA
rnacentral:rRNA from 1 species